rnacentral:rRNA from 1 species
UACGGAGGGGACUAGCGUUGUUCGGAAUUACUGGGCGUAAAGCGCACGUAGGCGGAUUUGUAAGUUAGGGGUGAAAUCCCGGGGCUCAACCUCGGAACUGCCCUUGAUACUGCAAAUCUCGAGUCCGGAAGAGGUGAGUGGAAUUCCUAGUGUAGAGGUGAAAUUCGUAGAUAUUAGGAAGAACACCAGUGGCGAAGGCGACUAUCUGGCCUGUACUUGACGCUGAGGCGCGAAAGCUAGGGGAGCAAACGGG